UACGUAGGGGGCUAGCGUUAUCCGGAUUUACUGGGCGUAAAGGGUGCGUAGGUGGUUUCUUAAGUCAGAGGUGAAAGGCUACGGCUCAACCGUAGUAAGCCUUUGAAACUGGGAAACUUGAGUGCAGGAGAGGAGAGUGGAAUUCCUAGUGUAGCGGUGAAAUGCGUAGAUAUUAGGAGGAACACCAGUUGCGAAGGCGGCUCUCUGGACUGUAACUGACACUGAGGCACGAAAGCGUGGGGAGCAAACAGGAUUAGAUACCCCGUAGUCCCUGAGCGGG
rnacentral:rRNA from 1 species